ACCGCUCCUGGCUCAGUUGGCAGAGCACUCCACUUAUCUUCUUCAAGGGUUCAUGGAGGUCAGUCGUUCAAAUCGGCUAGCGGGA